rnacentral:rRNA from 1 species
GACGGACGCUGGCGGCGUGCUUAACACAUGCAAGUCGAACGGAAAGGCCCCAGCUUGCUGGGGUACUCGAGUGGCGAACGGGUGAGUAACACGUGGGUGAUCUGCCCUGCACUCUGGGAUAGGCCUGGGAAACUGGGUCUAAUACCGGAUAGGACCGUGCUUUAGUGUGUGCGGUGGAAAGUUUUUCGGUGCAGGAUGAGCCCGCGGCCUAUCAGCUUGUUGGUGGGGUAAUGGCCUACCAAGGCGGCGACGGGUAGCCGGCCUGAGAGGGUGUACGGCCACAUUGGGACUGAGACACGGCCCAGACUCCUACGGGAGGCAGCAGUGGGGAAUAUUGCACAAUGGGCGCAAGCCUGAUGCAGCGACGCCGCGUGGGGGAUGACGGCCUUCGGGUUGUAAACCCCUUUCGGCAGGGACGAAGCUUUUGUGACGGUACCUGCAUAAGAAGCACCGGCUAACUACGUG